UACGGGGGGGAGCAAGCGUUGUUCGGAUUUACUGGGCGUAAAGGGCGCGUAGGCGGUCAGCACAAGUCAGUUGUGAAAUCUCCGGGCUUAACUCGGAAAGGUCAACUGAUACUGUGCGACUAGAGUGCGGAAGGGGCAACUGGAAUUCUCAGUGUAGCGGUGAAAUGCGUAGAUAUUGGGAAGAACACCAGUGGCGAAAGCGGACUUCUGGGCUAUUACUGACGCUGAGGUACGAAAGUGUGGGGAGCAAACGGG
rnacentral:rRNA from 1 species